rnacentral:misc_RNA from 1 species
CACUCCUCUAGCCUUGUCAGGGUACAAUACCUCCAGCUGUUCAAUCUGCUUCUCAAAGCUCUUUUUGCCAGUUCCAAGAAUUACUAUCUGCACAUUGUGUUUCACCAAUUGCGAAAUAGCUGCAACAAGAAUAUCUGAACCUUUCUGCUCUUCUAAUCUACCAAUGAAGCCUAUCAAAGGAAUAUCCCUGCCAACAGGUAAUCCAACUUCUGCUUGAAGGGCUUCCUUCAACAA